rnacentral:rRNA from 1 species
AGAACGAACGCUGGCGGCAUGCCUAACACAUGCAAGUCGAACGCUCCUGGGGCUUCGGUCUCAGGGGAGUGGCGCACGGGUGAGUAGCGCGUGGGAACCUGCCCUGUUGUGGGGAUAACCGAGGGAAACUUCGGCUAAUACCGCAUAAGCCGGUUGUCUUGAAAGAGAUGGCCGGGAAAGAUUUAUCGCGACAGGAGGGGCCCGCGUCGGAUUAGGUAGUUGGUGGGGUAACGGCCUACCAAGCCUUCGAUCCGUAGCUGGUCUGAGAGGAUGAUCAGCCACACUGGGACUGAGAUACGGCCCAGACUCCUACGGGAGGCAGCAGUGGGGAAUAUUGGACAAUGGGGGCAACCCUGAUCCAGCAAUGCCGCGUGGAUGAUGAAGGCCUUCGGGUUGUAAAGUCCUUUCGGCGGGAAGAUGAUGACGGUACCGCAGAAGAAGCCCCGGCUAACUUCGUGCCAGCAGCCGC